rnacentral:misc_RNA from 1 species
UUUCCGUAGGUGAACCUGCGGAAGGAUCAUUAUUGUAUAACCGAGGAACGAGGACUGUCGCUGACCCCAAUUGCCGUGCACGCCCGACUGCCCUCACACACAUCCAUCUCACCCCGAUGUGCACCACCGCGUGGGUCCCCCUUUGGCGUGUUCGGAGGGGGGCUUACGUUUUCACACAAACUUUGUAUGCAGUGUAGAAUGUAUUUUUUGUUUUUGCGAUCACGCAAUCAAUACAACUUUCAACAACGGAUCUCUUGGCUCUC